CGCCUGCCUCGGCCUCCCAAAGUGCUGGGAUUACAGGUGUGAGCCACCACGCCCAGCCUACAGACUGUUAUCUGGGAAAUCCUAAUGUAAGUGCUGGCAAAAAGAGGGAAAAAGGAAUAGGAAAUAUAAAGGAUGUAUUAAAAGCUACAACAGGAUUUUAAGUCUUUGGGCUAUCUCACAAUGUGGUAUUAAUUUCUUCUUCUCUGCUAAAAUAUAGAGCUAAGGAACAAACUAUGUGUGUCCAAGUGAGUGCACAUUUGUGAUUAUAUAUAGUUUGGAAUCAUUUUUUCAAGAGGUCCAGGAUCUUCCUCACUCUCCAACAUGUAAAUGGAUAAUCCUUCUACCUCUUCCUCAUGUCUCCCUGCAGCCAUAUGUGUCAUUGGCUCAGCAGAUGGCACCACCUAGCCCAAGCAACAGUACACCUAACAGCAGUAGUGGAAGCAAUGGAAAUGACCAGCUGAGCAAAACCAACCUAUACAUCCGAGGAUUGCAACCAGGCACUACUGACCAAGAUCUUGUCAAGCUGUGUCAGCCGUAAGUUGGAGUACAUGUGCGUAGGCUUCCAGGGACAGUAUAGAUUUGGUUUUGAGACAGGGUCUCGUUAUGUUGUCCAGGCUAGUCUUGAACUCCUGGGCUCAAGUGAUCUGCCCACUUCGGCCGCCCAAAGUGCUGGGAUUACAG
rnacentral:lncRNA from 10 species